UUCGGCAGCAUGAACUGCGAUAGAUGAACCAGGCUGUGCACUGGAGGCAGCCGCCGAGGACCCAGCCAGUAGCCGGAGACAGUGACAGAGUCAUGAUUGAGGGGAAGGGGAACUAACUCCGGCGUCAGAGCAGAGAACACUUCCACACCCAGCAGAAGACUCGGUUUUGGAACACAUCAGGCUGAUAGGACUCUUAUGCACCGUAAUGUCAUUGCUGGAUAUUCUGUAGAGCCAAAUGUGAUGUGAACGCUGACUAAAAAAGGCAGAUGGUGUUUAACCACACACAGUGUUAUGGAAGAAAAGCAGUGGCUGGUUGAGACCAAGAAUCCAAACAUUAUGCCAAUUGGGGGAAGAGGCCAGUCUGUAUUUAGACACGUACAAAUGUUCAUUUUCAGAAGAAGAAAGAAGAAAGAAUGGCUUGUUAUGCACAACCAUCCAAAAAUUUGCCAUUAACGGAGGCAGAAUGCCUAGCUGUAUUUAUACAUGUCACACACAAGUGUUCAUUGUCAAAAGAGUGGCUUGUUCUGAACAAGUGUCCAAAAUGUAGGCCUUAAUGGGGGUGGAAUGCCUACCAUACAUAGCACGCAUAAGUGUUAAUUGUCAGAAGAGUGGUUUGACAUAUAUAAGCAUCCAAAAAUUAUGCAUUAAGAGGGGGAAAAUACCCUGUCCAUAUUUUUAUAUGCAAAUUUUCAAAAACAGCAGUUUUAAUUGUCAGAAGAAAGAGUGGCUUGUCCUAUACAAGCCUGAUUUUAUUUUUCCUUUUAACUAGGAGCAGCAGCCGUACAGUGUGUAUGUGGAAGAAUAGAGUAAUUAUGGCAUGCAGCCUCAAUAGUAGCAGCAGCAGUAGCAGCAUAGUAUGUAGCAGGCAAGGCAGUAGAUGCGUGCAGCAGUAUAUAUGUGUAGUAGUGUUGGCUGUGUAAGGGUAGUGGUACUGGCAGUAGAGGAAAAUAGAAGUGUCAGUAGAGGAUUAGCAACAGGAAAUUGCAGCUGCAGCAGUGACUACAGCAGCAGCAGCAGCCAUACGGUACAAAACAUGAUGGUAGACAGGCAGACAGCACAUUGGCAUAAUGGGGUACUCUCAGCAAAGGUACAACCACAUAUCACAUUCAUGUUGUGGUCAUGGUGCGGUUAGGUAAUGCAUGUGGCCGACCACUUGCUCUUACUGCAUGUAUAAUAAUGCUUUUCGGGUACGGUUUUUAUCCGUGAAUAUUUGUGAACAGUUUUUUGAACAGUUGUGAAUUUUUGUGGUUCUUUAGCUAUCUGAUUAAAAUGUAAUAAUAUAUAUAGUAAAAUAUAUUAAACAUAUCCUGCAAGCCAAAAGUGGGUAGGCAUGUUUUACAUGUAGCAGGUGCAG